AUCAAGAUGAAUUGUACAUAAGAAGUUUUUGGGAUCAUGAAAAGUUGGGCAUACUUUGGCAUACUUUGGCAUAGUGUAUUUUAUGCAUUCAUCUGCAAAACUAUUGCAAAUGCAUGCAACUGAGCCCACCAACAAAUUCCACUUGUUAACUUGAUUGUAUUUACAAUCAACAAAAUUUAUGCAGUCGGUGAACUAACAAGAAUAUACUAACCUUCAUGUAGGGACAGGAAGCACA
rnacentral:misc_RNA from 1 species